GUUGCUAACAGGAGAGCUGAGCACUCUGGCGAGACUGCCGCCGACAAGGCGGAGGAAGUGGGGGAUGACGUCAAGUCAUCAUGGCCUUUAUGCCCAGGGCUACACACGUGCUACAAUGGCCGGCACAGACGGCAGCUUAGUGGCGACACUUGGCAAAUCCUCUAAAGCCGGUCCCAGUUCGGAUUGCAGUCUGCAACUCGACUGCAUGAAGCCGGAAUCGCUAGUAAUCGCAGAUCAGCCAAGCUGCGGUGAAUACGUUCCCGGGCCUU
rnacentral:rRNA from 1 species